AAAAUAUCGUUUUUGUCAUUUCAACGUUUUGUCUUAAGCUGAACAGAGCAUCGAGAUAAAAUGAAGAAAUUUUAAAGAAAUUUAAUAUAAGCUAGAUGAACUGUCCUGGACCUAGAGCAGAUAUGAAAUUCAGUGUUGGCUAGACGAUGACAAAGGAGCCUGAACAUUAUUCUUGGGCGUUGAGCCUGGAUUAAAGUGAUGAAAUUCGCAAUAUGCAGUGGCAUGGAGAAUGUAUGAAAAAGAUGGAAAAGCUCAAAUCUAACUUAUCCUCUUGCUUAAUGGAAUUUUGGCGAAAAGCAGCCUGCAAUAAAUACAUGAAGGACUCAAA